rnacentral:lncRNA from 12 species
AAGGAAGAAACGCUUGCUCCCCGCUUCACUUUCUCGUGGAAGUUUUGGCUCUUCCCGGCUCUGGCCUCCCCUCCCUCCGCCCGUCCGCAGGCUCCGCGGCGAAGCCCAGACUCGAGGAUUCCCACCGCGCCCCGCCCCCCCGGCGCCGCCGCACGAGCUGACGUUACGCACGGGGGGCGUGUCCUCCGAGGGGGCGGGGCCUGCGCGCUGACGACUAAUCUGGCGGCCGGAAGCGGUCCGCUGGGGAAUCAGGGCAAACACUUGACUUCCGGCGGCCUUUCGAGUGGGUCCUCCCGGCGGCCUGGUCGUGUUUUCGUUGCCUUUUCGGACCCUCCGCAGCGGCUCCUCGUCCUCUCUCGUCCUCCGGCUCAGGCUCGCCCGACCCUGGCGAGGCGGCGGGCGGGUUCUGCUUCCCAGCCGCCCCGGGGGCCCCUCGCCAGCGAAGGGCCGGUUCCCGGGAGCCGCGCGCGCACCUCCUUCUCCUGGUCGUCGUCUCCCCGGGGCCCGGCGCGGGGACACAGAGUCGCCUCCCCCGCUCCUCGGAGCGGUGGCGGCGGGAGCGCCUCGGGAUUGAGCUUGCGACGGGAGUCCGGGGAGGAGGAGGUAAGCUUGAAGUCGGGGACUUGGUGUGGGUAUCGGGGGGGGGGAGGCCCGGGGUGUCCUCCCCCUGCCCCCCUCCCUCCAGCGCCCUCGGGUCACGCCGGGAUGUUGAGCCCUCCUGGAGCAUCCCCCCGCAACUCAGCAGUAGCUGCCUGGGUUCAGGCCUCGUUUCUCGCUGUCGCUGUCAUUCCGACGGUGGAUGCAGACAAAGACUGUGUGUGUGUGUUGGGGGGGGGGGUCCCUUCCAUUUGCGGGCUUUGCGCCCUAUUCGCGUUUGUUUGCGCUGCAAGGGGUUGGGUGCUGGUGGGUGGGGUCGGUGGGCAGGAGCAUGGUCUUAGCUGCAGAGGCUCCCUCUUCACGCCUCCCAGGCCUAUUAGGAGAAAUUGGCCCCUUGCUGUCGGUUGCAUUUGGUCUUUUUGCUUAUUUCCCCGGCAGUGCUGGUUGAUCGGAUCGACUCGGGUCCCGGAGGUCGAGGAGGGCUAG